UACGGGGGGGGCAAGCGUUGUUCGGAAUUACUGGGCGUAAAGGGUUUGUAGGUGGCCCGCUAAGUCACACGUGAAAUCCCUCAGCUUAACUGGGGAACUGCGUGUGAGACUGGCAGGCUCGAGGGCAGGAGAGGAACGCGGAAUUCCAGGUGUAGCGGUGAAAUGCGUAGAUAUCUGGAGGAACACCGGUGGCGAAGGCGGCUCGCUGGGACGUGACUGACGCUGAGACGCGAAAGCGUGGGGAGCAAACAGG
rnacentral:rRNA from 1 species